UUUUCCGGUUGAUCCUGCCGGACCUCACUGCUAUCGGGGUGGGACUUAGACAUGCGAGUCGAACGCUUCGCAGCCAUGAGUGAAGCGUGGCGAACGGCUCAGUAACACGUGGCUAACCUACCCUUGAGACGGAGACAACCCCGGGAAACUGGGGCUAAUCCCAGAUAGACGAGAACUCCUGGAAUGGGUUUUCGUCCAAAAGGCGUUAGGGUCAUGCCUCUUAACGUCGCUCAAGGAUGGGGCCGCGGCCGAUCAGGCUGUUGGUGAGGCAACGGCUCACCAAACCUAUAACCGGUACGGGCCGUGGGAGCGGGAGCCCGGAGAUGGGAACUGAGACAAGGUCCCAGGCCCUACGGGGCGCAGCAGUUACGAAAACUUGUCACUGCACGAAAGUGCGAACGGGCUACCCCGAGUGCCGUCCGCUGAGGAUGGCUUUUCUCUGCUGUAAGAAGGCGGAGGAAUAAGGAGAGGGCAAGUCUGGUGUCAGCCGCCGCGGUAAUACCAGCUCUCCGAGUGGUGGGGAUGUUUAUUGGGCUUAAAGCGUCCGUAGCUGGCCUUUCAAGUCUCUCGUUAAAUCCAGCGAUUCAAUCGUUGGACUGCGGGAGAUACUGCUAGGCUAGGGGGCGGGAGAAGCCGACGGUAUUUUCGGGGUAGGGGUAAAAUCCUAUAAUCCCGGGAAGACCACCAGUGGCGAAGGCGGUCGGCUAGCACGCGCUCGACGGUGAGGGACGAAAGCUGGGGGAGCGAACCGGAUUAGAUACCCGGGUAGUCCCAGCUGUAAACGAUGCGGGCUAGGUGUUGGAGCGGCUACGAGCCGCUUCAGUGCCGCAGGGAAGCCAUUAAGCUCGCCGCCUGGGGAGUACGGCCGCAAGGCUGAAACUUAAAGGAAUUGGCGGGGGAGCACCACAAGGGGUGAAGCUUGCGGUUUAAUUGGAGUCAACGCCGGGAAUCACUAGU
rnacentral:rRNA from 1 species